rnacentral:rRNA from 1 species
UGGGGAAUCUUGGACAAUGGGCGCAAGCCUGAUCCAGCCAUGCCGCGUGAGUGAAGAAGGCCUUCGGGUUGUAAAGCUCUUUUACCAGGGACGAUAAUGACGGUACCCGGAGAAUAAGUCCCGGCUAACUUCGGGCCAGCAGCCGCGGUAAUACGAAGGGGACUAGCGUUGUUCGGAAUCACUGGGCGUAAAGCGCACGUAGGCGGAUUUGUAAGUCAGGGGUGGAAUCCCGGGGCUCAACCUCGGAACUGCCUUUGAUACUGCGGAUCUCGAGUCCGAUAGAGGUGAGUGGAAUUCCUAGUGUAGAGGUGAAAUUCGUAGAUAUUGGGAAGAACACCAGUGGCGAAGGCGGCUAACUGGUCCGGUACUGACGCUGAGGUGCGAAAGCGUGGGGAGCAAACAGGAUUAGAUACCCCUGUAGUCCCUGAGCGGGCUGGCAAGGCGCAU